rnacentral:rRNA from 1 species
UACAGAGGGUGCAAGCGUUGUUCGGAUUUACUGGGCGUAAAGGGCGCGUAGGCGGUCAGCACAAGUCAGUUGUGAAAUCUCCGGGCUUAACUCGGAAAGGUCAACUGAUACUGUGCGACUAGAGUGCGGAAGGGGCAACUGGAAUUCUCGGUGUAGCGGUGAAAUGCGUAGAUAUCGAGAGGAACACCUGCGGCGAAGGCGGGUUGCUGGGCCGACACUGACGCUGAUGCGCGAAAGCCAGGGGAGCGAACGGG